UACGUAGGUGGCAAGCGUUGUCCGGAUUUAUUGGGUUUAAAGGGUGCGUAGGCGGUCUUCUAAGUCAGUUGUGAAAUACUUCAGCUUAACUGGAGAGGUGCAAUUGAUACUGGAAGACUUGAGUACUGAUGAGGUAGGCGGAAUGGACGGUGUAGCGGUGAAAUGCUUAGAUAUCGUCAAGAACACCGAUAGUGAAGACAGCUUACCAAGCUUCAACUGACGCUGAGGCACGAAAGUGUGGGGAUCAAACAGG
rnacentral:rRNA from 1 species